rnacentral:rRNA from 1 species
GACAGAGGGGGCAAGCGUUGCUCGGAAUUACUGGGCGUAAAGGGCGCGUAGGCGGGAUGGCAAGUCGGUCGUGAAAUCCUUCGGCUCAACCGAAGAACGUCGAUCGAUACUGCUGUUCUUGAGGGUUGCAGAGGAGACUGGAAUUCCCGGUGUAGCGGUGAAAUGUGUAGAGAUCGGGAGGAACACCGGUGGCGAAGGCGGGUCUCUGGGCAAUUCCUGACGGCUGAGGCGCGAAAGCGUGGGGAGCAAACGG